CUAGCUUGGGAGGAGGGCAGAGGAGCCGAGUGGAGACAGCAGGUAUUGUCUGGGUGGUUGGGGCACGUGGUCCAGGCCGCGGACACCGCUGAAGCUGGGCGGGAGGCGCAGGGCACCUAAAGCGGAAGAAUGCGCCCCGGAGGCGGGAAGGGCGGGGCAGAGAAUGCGCAGAACUUUUUCGGUAGAAGAGACCUAGCACUCGACGCGUCGACGACCCAAAUAUCGGGGUCCCUGACAGCCGCGGUGAAAUCUGGCGCAAAUCCUACGGGAGGAGAUGGACUGAAUCAGCCCCCCGCCCCGACUCCGAGGGGAGGUACUAGGGAAAAGCGGGCCUUGCGGGGUUCUCCGGCGAGAUCAGCUCCUUUCCCGAGCCUCUCGGUCCUAGCGCUCACAGCCUGCAACACCGCCGCUCCUAACUCAACUCUACCAGUCCCACAUCCUCUCUGGUUACGCACAGGGAGCAUCUGUGCAAAUGAUGAAUAAACGAGUGAAUAGAGAACUGGAAAGGACAGGGAACAUACCUGCUUCCCAGCCGCCCUCCAGGUCCUAAUUCCCAACCAAGGCGCUUCCAGAAAGAAACCCGGGUGCGCUGAGCACACUUCUGGUCCCACCUACUGGGAGCCUUCCAACUGGACUCUUCACACAGCAGCAUCGAAAGCUGGGGGAGUCCUGGCCCCAGGCUAGCCUGUUCUAGGUAGAUGGGUAGGGUCAUUCCCAAGAUGACUCAAAGAGCAAGAAGGGGAGGCAAAGACCCUUAGGAUAGAGCUGUUUCAGCCAGCACGAGAGCCUGGUCCAGAGCACCCACCCACCCCACACCUGGGCGGUGUUGGGGGUGCAGAUACCAGGGUGCUAAGGCCCUACAGGUGCUGCUGGGGUGGGGGCGGGGCAGCAGUGAUGGGGAUUUCUUUUAUCCAUUGCAGGCCAUUCCAGGACCUCCAUGCCCCAGUCCCACAAUCCUCACUGAACCUUGGGCCCAAUGAGCAAACAAACCAACUGUUCAUAGCCAGAGGCCUAAACACUAUGAAUGGUCAGUGUGUCCCUUCUCUGAGCCAGCCCAGAUUGCUUUCCAGCUAUUUCCAGCCUGGGAAUAGGAUUCCACAUCAUAAAUGUAACUAGGGAAAAAGUCGUUACCUUAAUCACUUACAAGAAGAUGUGUUUCUAAGGACUUUUUCUGUAUCCUAGUAGGUAGCCCAGAGCAAUAAUACUUUCAACAAACUGGAACAGAGCUUCUCCACAGGCCAUCCUUGGGCACUCAGGAGUCUCAUGAUAUACUACAAUAUACCUAGGGCUUGUUUUAGUCUGGUAUGGUAAGACAUGCAGACUUGGAAAUGAUUGUCAUGAAGGAAGAUAAUUAUACUGUUUCCCUAGAAGGCAGGGUACAACAUGAAGGGCCACACUGGGAAGCACCAGCAUAGGUCAGGAGGCAGGAGAGAGGGAGGGUACAGUGUGGCCCAGAGCCUUUAUUGGGGUUUCUGCAGGAAGGAAUGGGCAAUGCAGGGCAGGUACACUAAGUAAAAUUAGGGUUAGAUAGUUUGAAUAAUUUCAGCAAGCUCCAGGGUAGAAAUGUGAUUUCUAAUUGAUAAGUGGUUCUGGGAUGAAUUAGGGCAGGAGGAGCUUUGCCUUGGUGUGUGAGUUUGAUAAAGGAGAUAGUUGGGAGUGUGGGCUCUGGAUUUGUUGGCUUGUAUCAAAGCCUUGCUCUAAAGGGUUGUUUGCUAUUUCUAGGAAUGUCUUUUGGAUCUAGGCCUGCUUGGCUCCAAAGCUGGUGGGAGGAACCAAUAGACCCAAGGGCCUUGCACAGAAGCAGAAUUUCCCUAAUCCCCCGGCCUGAGAAGGUCAGGAGCUGGGAAUCCUGAGAACAAAAAGGGAGUUGGAAGUAGGGCCAAGAGGGCCUGAGGAGGUUGGUGACAAGGGCCUGUGUCCAGCACAGAGAGACCUUGUCCCCACCCCUCCUGGGCUGUCUAUUGGCACCAGGCUCUUCCUGAGGCCCCAUCUCCUCCCUCUCCUGUGUGACUCCUUUUUUCCUACUCAGGCCCCGGUCCCUCAAAGGCAGAGCCUGUGAUGUUUCCAUCCAUCUCUUCUGUGCUCAACAAGGAUCACAUGCUCAAUAGAAACCUGUUUGAAAGACUGAGUGAGUAACCUGAGUCAGUAAACUUAUUUUUCUUUAAAGGAACAUAAAAACUGAAAAAUAGGAUUUCCAAAAAUUACGUGGAUUUCCUGCACUCAGAACGGGAGUUCAAGUUUAAUUAGAAUGGAACUGAAAUACGGCUGAAGUGGUACUCAGAGAUACGCCUUUUACAAAAUUCACUCUACCAGAUGUCACUGAUACUUUUGAAUUCUUUUUCAGAGGAGAGCUGCUUCCUGUUAGUGUCCAUUUGAAUACUGCUGUUUAAAAAAAGUCAGGGCUCACACCCAUUGGGAUUGCUACUAUCAAAACAACAAAAAACAACAAGUGUUGACGAGCAUUUGGAGAAAGGGAACCCUCGUGCACUGCUGGUCGGGGUGUAGAAUGAUGCAGCCACUGUAGAAAACAGUAAAAAAAUUAAACACAAUUACUUUAUGACCUAGCAAUUCCACUUCUGGGUGAAUACACAAAGGAAUUGAAAGCAGGGUCUGGAAGAGAUGUUUGUACACCCAUGUUCACAGCAAUAUUAGUUACAGUCGCCAAAAGGUGGAAGCAAUGCAAGUCUCCAUGACAGAUGAGUGGAUAAGGAAAAUGUCCAACCAUACAAUAGCAAAUAUUACUCAACCUUUUAAAAGGAAAGACAUUGUAUCACAUGCUACAACAUUGAUAAAUUCAGAGGACAUUAUACUCUGUGAAAUCAGCAGUCACAAAAGGACAAAUACUAUUUUACUCCACUAAGAUGAGGUUCCUAGAGUAGUCAGAAAUCAUAGGGACAUAAAGUAGAAUGGUAGUUACCAGGAUCUGGGAGAAGGGAACAGGGAAUUGUUUAAUGGGAAUGGUUUCAGUUUUACAAAAUGAAAAGGGUUCUCAAGAUGGAUGGUUGUGAUGGGUCCACCGUAUGAAUACGCUUAAUACCACCAAACUGUAUACUUAAAAAUGGUUAAGAUGGCAAACACUGUGUAUAUUUUCCCACAGUUUUUUUUUAAUUUUGGAAAAAAGUCAGGGCUGAAAACUGGCUUUGUGCUUUGAAAAAGGGCACCUCUUCAAGUAUAUUCUUAGUUUACUCAGUGAGAAAACCACAUUUUGCAAAUACUUCGAGGAUUUUUGCUGACAAGAUCACCAGCUGAUGCUUUUCCACAGGCUGGAGGCAUAGGGAAACCUAAGCUUGCUUGCUUGCUUAUUUAGUUAGCUAAUUUAUUUAUUUUGAGAGGAAUGAGAGAGAGAGAGAGAGAGAGAGAGAGAGAGAGAGAGAUGGGCAAGGGCAGCUUGGAGCCUGACUCAGGGCUCAAUCCCACAAACCAAGAUCAUGACCUGAGUUGAAAUCAAGAGUUGGAUGCUCAACUAGCUGAGCCUCCCAGGCGCCCCAACCUAAGCUUUUAAAGGCUUUUUAACUGAUUACUCCAGACCCACCAGGAUACUUAAAAUCAGUUGAUUAGGUGCUUUAAUCACAUCUGCAAAAUCACUUCACAACAGCCUUUGGGUUAGUGUCUAAGUAUUAGGUAGGUGUGUGAGCUACAAAUGACCACCAUUUCCUUCCUCCUGCAUAGCCUGCCACUCAGGAAUUCAGCUGAAAGGGAAUUCUGGGGGCAGUUUAGCCCGGUGACUUGACACACUAAAAGUCAUUUCAAACACUAGAGUAAUCCUGUUUGUAAAAACACAGGCACACAUAGGCUGAAUAUUUGAAAUGUAGAGAAAAAAGUCUGGAAUGAACUACCCAGACUUAACAGGUGUAUGUCUGGGGAGUAAGGUGGGAAUGUGGGACAAGGGAAGAGGGAAAUAUUUCCUAUUUUUGUAUUGAGAUUUCGUUACUGUUUUACUGCAAAUAUGUAGUAUUUCUGUAACUUAACCAAAGUAAAGAAAGUGUUUUAUAAAAUCCUGGGGUGGACAAGGCCUUUCUAAUCACAACAAGACAGUUUUGCCCAUAGGGAAUAUGUAUUUUUCUUAUUAAAAACCUCAUAACUAAAAGCAAAUAAGGAACUGGGAAAAAAUAUUUGUAAUAUAUCACUUCCUCAAGUGUAUGACGCAGUUUCCAUCCCAUCUCUUCCAUGCUCACCCACCACCAAAAGACCUGUGGUUUGUAUCACAGUUGAAGAAACAGGUAUUAAGGGAAAGGGAUUGGAGCUCAACACAGAGGCUUAAAAACCUAAUAAAAAUAGGUACAAGAGCUUACAGGGAAUUUACUCACGAAAAGGCCAAGAAAUAUAAAUGAAAACAAGACUGGCAUUUUUCAUGAUUAAUCAAAUGGUUAAAAACAGUCCCUCCACAUCUGUAACCCUGAUGGGGAAAGUCCACCUCAGCCACAAGCAAAUGUGCACAGGUCUGCUACGGGGCCAACAAAUACAGUGAAGGUGUGAGGAAAGGACAGAUGUGUGACAGUAAGGAAGCUGCUACCUAAACCAGUCAGCAGGGACACGGUUCUAAGCAAAGUAAACCCCGAUUUGUAAAACAAAUACCAUACGUGUGCAUUAGAAAGAGUCAGGGGGUGGGGAGGCACCUGCGUGACUCACUUGGUUAAGCAUCCGACUUUGGUUCAGGUCAUAGUCUCGUGGGUUCGAGCCCCACGUCGGGGUUCUGUGCUGACAGCAAGAGCCUGCAGCCUGGGUUAGAUUCUGUGUCUCCCGACAAUAAAUAAACAUUAAAAAAAAAUUUUUUUUAAGAGGCUAAGGGGGUGCCUGGGUGGCUCAGUCAGUUAACUGUCCAACUCUUGAUCUUGGUUUUGGUCAUGUCUUGUGAUUCAUGAGAUCGAGCUCUGCUGAGAGCACAGAAACUGCUUGGGAUUCUCUCUCUCCUCUCUCUGUGCCUCCCCAACUCAUGUUCUCUCUGUCUCAAAAUAAAUAAAUAAGCAUUAAAAUUUAAAAAAAGAGGCUAAGAAAACACACCAAACAUCGCUGUAGUGAUCUCUGAAGAGUGAGACCAAAGGGCAGUUUUUUACAUUUCUAAGUUCUUGCAUUUCCCAAAUGUCCUAAAAUAAAUUUAUAUUUGGGGGAAAAAUGAUUAAAAAAUACACAUUCACUGGUAGCUCUCCUUGGGGCUGGCGGCUUCCUUUCUGGCACACCUUUUGUAAGAUGCUGUAGAAGCCCCUCAGUGUUCUCAGGGCUCCUGGGGUCGGGGGGCUGAUGAAGAAGAAGGGUCACUAAGAGAUGGCCCCUCUCACCAGCGGCCACCCAGGGAAGCUUCUCCCCAGUGAAUACCUUCUGCUGACAGGCCUGCUGAGGGAUCACACUUAGCCUGGCUGGGGCUCCCAAGGCACUGCCUGGGAGCCUGCAGACCCCACUCCCGAGUCCUGCUUCAGCCACCACUACCCCUCCAGCUUUGCCGUGGCUUGUCAACAAACCCUAGGUCUACCUGAGAGUUCCCAACACCUCCAUGGCAGGUGUUGUGUGGAUUCUAGUCCUCUGCCCCACUAGGUGGCUGGGUCCCCUGGCAACAGUCUGAUCUUGGUCAAUUCUAGCAACAAAUGAACAUCCAAAAAAAAAAAGCCAACAGAUUCCGCUCCCCUCCCCCCAUCACAAGUCAAUAUUUGGAAAACCGAGGAGUGGAAAGAGAAAACGAAACCCCCCCCACCCCCACCCCCUUGUGUUGGAGCCCGCGUGUGCCUCUAGGCGCAGACUUGGACGGUUUAGAAAUGCCGCCCUCCCGCGGGCAUCUGGGCUCAGCAGUUGUGGGGGGACCCGCUCUGGCUCAGCCUUCCUCACUGCCCUUCCCUCGGGCUGCUCGACCACAGCCCUGGCCCUGACCCUUCUCACAGCCAAG
rnacentral:lncRNA from 1 species